CUCUUCAAACUAUAUGGUUUUAUUAUGCAGUUGCCACGGGAAGCACAUGAGAGCUGUCAGAAACCUAGAACAUAGCCCUGGGUGCUAAGCUUGGAAAUGAAGUCACAGGGUUCAGUUUUUGAAGAACAAAUGUGGGUCUGAAGCUUCGGCAAACAAACACAAACAUGACAAGCUGCUUCCACAUCGCUCCUUGUAUCUGGAAGACUGGAACACUAUUAUUCACUUAUCCAGUGUCUCCUGUGGCUCCCGCAGAGGCAUUAACCUGUACUGUUUGCAGGGCUCUGUUAUGA
rnacentral:lncRNA from 1 species